CUCCGGUUGUCCUGCCGGACCCGACUGCUAUCAGAGUGGGACUAAGCCAUGCGAGUCAACGUAGCAAUACGUGGCAUACGGCUCAGUAACACGUAGUCAACAUGCCCAGGGGACGAGGAUAACCUCGGGAAACUGAGGAUAAACCUCGAUAGGCCAUGAUUUCUGGAAUGAUUCUUGGCUCAAACCUAUAUGGCCCCUGGAUUGGACUGCGGCCGAUCAGGCUGUUGGUGAGGUAAUGGCCCACCAAACCUAUUACCGGUACGGGCUCUGAGAGGAGGAGCCCGGAGAUGGGCACUGAGACAAGGGCCCAGGCCCUAUGGGGCGCAGCAGGCGCGAAACCUCUGCAAUAGGCGAAAGCUUGACAGGGUUACUCUGAGUGAUUUCCGCUAAGGGAAUCUUUUGGCACCUCUAAAAAUGGUGCAGAAUAAGGGGUGGGCAAGUCUGGUGUCAGCCGCCGCGGUAAUACCAGCACCCCGAGUGGUCGGGACGAUUAUUGGGCCUAAAGCAUCCGUAGCCGGUCCUGCAAGUCUUCCGUUAAAUCCAGCUGCUCAACAGAUGGGCUGCGGGAGAUACUACAGGGCUAGGAGGCGGGAGAGGCAAGCGGUACUUUAUGGGUAGGGGUAAAAUCCGCUGAUCCAUAGAAGACCACCAGUGGCGAAGGCGGCUUGCCAGAACGCGCUCGACGGUGAGGGAUGAAAGCUGGGGGAGCAAACCGGAUUAGAUACCCGGGUAGUCCCAGCUGUAAACGAUGCAGACUCGGUGAUGGGUUGGCCUCGCGCCUGCCCAGUGCCGCAGGGAAGCCGUUAAGUCUGCCGCCUGGGGAGUACGGUCGCAAGACUGAAACUUAAAGGAAUUGGCGGGGGGAGCA
rnacentral:rRNA from 1 species